UACGUAGGGUGCGAGCGUUGUCCGGAAUUAUUGGGCGUAAAGAGCUUGUAGGCGGUUUGUCGCGUCUGCUGUGAAAAUCCGGGGCUCAACCCCGGACUUGCAGUGGGUACGGGCAGACUAGAGUGUGGUAGGGGAGUCUGGAAUUCCUGGUGUAGCGGUGGAAAUGCGCAGAUAUCAGGAGGAACACCGGUGGCGAAGGCGGGACUCUGGGCCGAUGACUGACGCUGAGGAGCGAAAGCGUGGGGAGC
rnacentral:rRNA from 1 species